rnacentral:rRNA from 1 species
CUUUCAGCAGUUCCUCAACAGCUUGUAAGGAAUUUCUUUUGAGUGGUACGCUGACUUGCCCAACGAGUCUGUUAAAACAUUUUCUAAGUUGGAACAAUUAUUUGUGAAAAGAUUUGUCGGAGCACAAAACCAUGUGUCUAUUAGUGAGCUCAUGAUGGAAAAAUAAAAGCCUAAUGAAACUUUGGUGGACUAUAUUUUGAGGUGGAGAAAACUUAUCAUGAAAUGUGAACCCAGCUACAAACCCGAUCAAGCAAUAUCGCGUGAGUGAAGAAGGGAAAUGCCGCUUGUAAAGCUCUUUUUUCGAGUGCACGAUCAUGACAGGACUCGAGGAAGAAACCCCGACUAACUCCGUGCCAGCGAUUAUCGAGUUUCAAGUUCAAGUUGCAAAAAAUUGGUGGAUCUACGAAGGAACGCCAAAAGCGAAGGAUCGGGGGCUCGAUUAUCGAGUUUCAAGUUCAAGUUACAAAAAAUUGGUGGAAUGCUCUCCAAAACAAUUCACUUGAGUGAGACAGAAGAGAGUGGAAUUUCGUGUGCAAGGGUGAAAUACGUAGAUCUACGAAGGAACGCCAAAAGCGAAGGCAACUCUCUGGGUCCCUACCGACGCUGAGGUGCGAAAGUAUAGGGAGCAAACAGGAUUAGAUACCCUGAUAGUCCAUGCUGUAAAAGAUGAGUGUUUGCCCUUGGUCUAUGAGGAUCGGGGGCCCAGCUAACACGUGAAACACUCCGUCUAGGGAGUACGAUCGCAAGACCAAAACUCAAAGGAAUUGACGGGGGCCUGCACAAGCGGUGGAGCAUGUGGUUUAAGUCGAUACAACGUGCAAAACCUUACCAGCCCUUGACAUAUGAACAACAAAACCUGUCCUUAAAGGGACGACACUGAAUUUCAUACAAGUGUUGCAUGGCUGUCUUCAGCUCGUGUCGUGAGAUGUUUGGUCAAGUCCUCUAACGAGCGAAACCCUCGUUUUGUGUUGCUGAGACAUGCGCCUCAGGAGAAAUGGCAACCGAAGUGAGCCGAGGAGCCGAGUGACGUGCCAGCGCUACUACUUGACUUGAGUGCCAGCACGUAGCUGUGCUUUCAGCAAGAAUUUCACCAUUGGGAGCCGGCGCCUUUCGAAGCGCUUUCAUGUGUGAACCGAAGUCGUGUUGCGUCACUCGUUCCCCACGGAGACCUACCUAUAGUGACGUCAAAGUACCAGUGACCAUGAUAGUUUGG